UGGGCCGUCGCCAAGCGGUAAGGCCCCGGGUUUUGAUCCCGGUAUGCGCAGGUUCGAAUCCUGCCGGCCCAGCCA
rnacentral:tRNA from 1 species